GUGCUCUCUUCAGCAGCAUAUAUACUAAAACUGGAAUGAUACAGAAAAGAUUAGCAUGGCCCCUAUGCAAGGAUGACACCCAAGUUUGUGAAGCAUUUCGUAUUUUU